rnacentral:rRNA from 1 species
GACGAACGCUGGCGGCGUGCUUAACACAUGCAAGUCGAGCGGUAAGGCCUUUCGGGGUACACGAGCGGCGAACGGGUGAGUAACACGUGGGUGAUCUGCCCUGCACUCUGGGAUAAGCCUGGGAAACUGGGUCUAAUACUGGAUGUGACCUCAGCAUGCAUGUGCUGGGGUGGAAAGCUUUUGUGGUGCAGGAUGGGCCCGCGGCCUAUCAGCUUGUUGGUGGGGUAAUGGCCUACCAAGGCGACGACGGGUAGCCGACCUGAGAGGGUGACCGGCCACACUGGGACUGAGACACGGCCCAGACUCCUACGGGAGGCAGCAGUGGGGAAUAUUGCACAAUGGGCGGAAGCCUGAUGCAGCGACGCCGCGUGAGGGAUGAAGGCCUUCGGGUUGUAAAGCUCUGUCGGAGGGAACGAAUGCUUUUGGGGUUAACAGCCCCGGAAAGUGACGGUACCCUCAAAGGAAGCACCGGCUAACUC